GGCUGCAGUGGGGAAUUUUGGACAAUGGGCGCAAGCCUGAUCCAGCAAUGCCGCGUGCAGGAAGAAGGCCUUCGGGUUGUAAACUGCUUUUGUACGGAACGAAACGGUCCUGGUUAAUACCUGGGGCUAAUGACGGUACCGUAAGAAUAAGCACCGGCUAACUACGUGCCAGCAGCCGCGGUAAUACGUAGGGUGCAAGCGUUAAUCGGAAUUACUGGGCGUAAAGCGUGCGCAGGCGGUUAUAUAAGUCAGAUGUGAAAUCCCCGGGCUCAACCUGGGAACUGCAUUUG
rnacentral:rRNA from 1 species